UACGUAGGGUGCGAGCGUUAAUCGGAAUUACUGGGCGUAAAGCGUGCGCAGGCGGUUCGUUGUGUCGGCGGUGAAAGCCCCGGGCUCAACCUGGGAAUGGCCGUUGAAACUGGCGAACUGGAGUGUGGCAGAGGGGGGUGGAAUUCCGCGUGUAGCAGUGAAAUGCGUAGAUAUCGGGAGGAACACCAGUGGCGAAGGCGGCUUUCUGGCCUGUUCUUGACGCUGAGGCGCGAAAGCUAGGGGAGCGAACGGG
rnacentral:rRNA from 1 species